rnacentral:rRNA from 1 species
UACAGAGGUCCCAAGCGUUGUCCGGAAUCACUGGGCGUAAAGGGCGCGUAGGCGGCCUGAUAAGUAGGGGGUGAAAUCCUGCGGCUUAACCGCAGGGCUGCCUUCUAAACUGUCAGGCUUGAGCACAGUAGAGGCAGGUGGAAUUCCCGGUGUAGCGGUGGAAUGCGUAGAGAUCGGGAAGAACAUCAGUGGCGAAGGCGGCCUGCUGGGCUGUUGCUGACGCUGAGGCGCGACAGCGUGGGGAGCAAACAGG